GUUUGUAUGUAGUGCAACGGUUUAGCGCGAGCUCCCGUUAAGCGUGAAAUCUGGGUUCAAGUCCCAGCUGACGCAAACG